rnacentral:rRNA from 1 species
UACGUAGGGGGCUAGCGUUGUCCGGAAUCAUUGGGCGUAAAGCGCGUGUAGGCGGUCCGGUAAGUCCGCUGUGAAAUCUCUGGGCUCAACUCAGAGUCUGCUGUGGAAACUGCCGUGCUUGAGUGUGGGAGAGGUGAGUGGAAUUCCCGGUGUAGCGGUGAAAUGCGCAGAUAUCAGGAGGAACACCAAUGGCGAAGGCAGCUCGCUGGGACGGUACUGACGCUGAGACGCGAAAGCGUGGGGAGCAAACAGG